rnacentral:sRNA from 1 species
AUUUCGCGUGAGGGAUAGAAGUGGAGCUCUUUUUCCUUGAUUUUUUUAUCAAGAAAAAAAGCGGGAACGGAUAGCCCGACCCUUG